rnacentral:rRNA from 3 species
AAAGAAACCAACAGGGAUUGCCCUAGUAACGGCGAGUGAAGCGGCAACAGCUCAAAUUUGAAAUCUGGCCCUCGGGUCCGAGUUGUAAUUUGUAGAGGAUGCUUUUGGUGAGGUACCUUCCGAGUUCCCUGGAACGGGACGCCAUAGAGGGUGAGAGCCCCGUCUGGUUGGAUACCGAUCCUCUGUAAAGCUCCUUCGACGAGUCGAGUAGUUUGGGAAUGCUGCUCUAAAUGGGAGGUAUAUGUCUUCUAAAGCUAAAUACCGGCCAGAGACCGAUAGCGCACAAGUAGAGUGAUCGAAAGAUGAAAAGCACUUUGAAAAGAGAGUUAAAAAGUACGUGAAAUUGUUGAAAGGGAAGCGCUUAUGACCAGACUUGGGCUUGGUUGAUCAUCCUGGGUUCUCCCUGGUGCACUCUUCCAGUUCAGGCCAGCAUCAGUUCGCUGCGGGGGAUAAAAGUUUUGGGAAUGUGGCUCCCUCGGGAGUGUUAUAGCCCAUUGCAUAAUACCCUGCUCCGGACUGAGGUUCGCGCAUCUGCAAGGAUGCUGGCGUAAUGGUCAUCAGCGACCCGUCUUGAAACACGGACCAAGGAGUCGUCUUCGUAUGCGAGUGUUCGGGUGUUAAACCCCUACGCGUAAUGAAAGUGAACGCAGGUGAGAGCUUCGGCGCAUCAUCGACCGAUCCUGAUGUUCUCGGAUGGAUUUGAGUAAGAGCAUACGGGGCCGGACCCGAAAGAAGGUGAACUAUGCCUGUAUAGGGUGAAGCCAGAGGAAACUCUGGUGGAGGCUCGCAGCGGUUCUGACGUGCAAAUCGAUCGUCAAAUAUGGGCAUGGGGGCGAAAGACUAAUCGAACCUUCUAGUAGCUGGUU